CGCCAACAAAGCCAGGCUUCCAUCUAGAACCUGAAGCUUACAGAUUGCGCAGAGACGUUUAUGAUGAUUCCAUCCACGGCCACCGUCAAGGUUUGGGUGUGGGACCACAAGGGUUCAGAACCAAGCAGGGCCCCCUGAGAAAGGAGGGUAUCCCAGAGCCCUGCAGGGAAGGGCGGCGGUUUGUUCUGAGACCAGCCCCAGUGAUAGCUCCGUGCAAGCUCUCCCUGACUCUAGUAAACCAACUCCGUCAUGUUCCUGGAACAGCUUUUAAGGAACCAAAGUAACAGACUGAGGAAGGGAUGAGUAAAUCAGUGAUGAUUCUUCCACUAGAAUUUUUUUCCCCUGGCAUAAAUGGUUCCAUAGUCCAUCUGGAAAAGAUGACCAUAAGGGGAAGAGUUGACCGGCAGGGGAGUCGAAAGCUCCAUAGCAGUACCCAGCUCUGACCAUUUGCCGAGCCUCUCCAAGCCUCAGAGCUCUUAUCUAACACAGGGAUGAUAAUAAAAUUGAGACUACAAGGAGGAAAAGUAACUUGUUCAACGUCACACGACAGUAACACCAGAGCUGGGCCAUAGGCCGAAGCAGCACAUCUUCAGAGCUGGCCAGUUCACAAGGUUGAUGUCAUGUCUAGGAGAUAACGGGUGUAAGCAAGCUUUGAAAAGGACAAGUUGGACACAUUGGUGAGUGGAGGUAAAACCUAAGAUUAUAAGCCUGUGUGUGUGUGUGUGUGUAAGGAUUGUGAAAAUCAAAGCUUGAUCGGGACAUCUCAAAUGUCUGAGUAUGUCCUUCUUAAUCUACUAUCUGCCUUUGAAUUUACAUAGCUGAGGAUGUAUGCUGGCAGACUGACCAUCCGCUCCCUCCCACCCGCUUUAGGGAAACCAGUGUGGUAACACUGACUAAUGGACCAAAGUCACUAUGCCAUGUUUAGAAUCUUAUCUCAUAGGCUCCUUUAAAAAAAAAGAAAAUGAAAAUAAGACAGGUCAUUGCAGACAGUGGGGUGGAGUUCCUGGCAAGUGCAAUAAUGAAUCACACAUAGUUGUGACUGGAUAAUGAGAGCCACCCCAUAAAACUUCGACUCAGCAUGUGUUUCGUCUCACUGGCCAGAAGCCAGGAGAGCCAGUGUUAAUAACGUGCUUUUACUAUCACUCAUGUGCUUCUCGUGUCUCGGUGCAGAAUUUGGCCAUUGAUGAAGUCAGCAGUCGUACGUGCAACUCAAUCCGUGUACCUUUCAGAAAAUGUCC
rnacentral:lncRNA from 1 species